ACUCCUACGGGAGGCAGCAGUGGGGAAUAUUGGACAAUGGGCGCAAGCCUGAUCCAGCCAUGCCGCGUGAGUGAUGAAGGCCCUAGGGUUGUAAAGCUCUUUCACCGGUGAAGAUAAUGACGGUAACCGGAGAAGAAGCCCCGGCUAACUUCGUGCCAGCAGCCGCGGUAAUACGAAGGGGGCUAGCGUUGUUCGGAUUUACUGGGCGUAAAGCGCACGUAGGCGGACUAUUAAGUCAGGGGUGAAAUCCCGGGGCUCAACCCCGGAACUGCCUUUGAUACUGGUAGUCUUGAGUGCGAGAGAGGUGAGUGGAAUUCCGAGUGUAGAGGUGAAAUUCGUAGAUAUUCGGAGGAACACCAGUGGCGAAGGCGGCUCACUGGCUCGAUACUGACGCUGAGGUGCGAAAGCGUGGGGAGCAAACAGGAUUAGAUACCCCAGUAGUCCCA
rnacentral:rRNA from 1 species